CUGAAGGAGGAGCUUGCUCUUUCCGGAUGAGUUGCGAACGGGUGAGUAACGCGUAGGUAACCUGCCUGGUAGCGGGGGAUAACUAUUGGAAACGAUAGCUAAUACCGCAUAACAGUAGAUAUUGCAUGAUAUCUGCUUGAAAGGUGCAAUUGCAUCACUACCAGAUGGACCUGCGUUGUAUUAGCUAGUUGGUGAGGUAACGGCUCACCAAGGCGACGAUACAUAGCCGACCUGAGAGGGUGAUCGGCCACACUGGGACUGAGACACGGCCCAGACUCCUACGGGAGGCAGCAGUAGGGAAUCUUCGGCAAUGGACGGAAGUCUGACCGAGCAACGCCGCGUGAGUGAAGAAGGUUUUCGGAUCGUAAAGCUCUGUUGUAAGAGAAGAACGAGUGUGAGAGUGGAAAGUUCACACUGUGACGGUAUCUUACCAGAAAGGGACGGCUAACUACGUGCCAGCAGCCGCGGUAAUACGUAGGUCCCGAGCGUUAUCCGGAUUUAUUGGGCGUAAAGCGAGCGCAGGCGGUUAGAUAAGUCUGAAGUUAAAGGCUGUGGCUUAACCAUAGUACGCUUUGGAAACUGUUUAACUUGAGUGCAAGAGGGGAGAGUGGAAUUCCAUGUGUAGCGGUGAAAUGCGUAGAUAUAUGGAGGAACACCGGUGGCG
rnacentral:rRNA from 1 species